rnacentral:rRNA from 1 species
GAUGAACGCUGGCGGCGUCCCUAAUACAUGCAAGUCGAACGCGCAGCGAAAGGUGCUUGCACCUUUCAAGCGAGUGGCGAACGGGUGAGUAACACGUGGAUAACCUGCCUCAAGGCUGGGGAUAACAUUUGGAAACAGAUGCUAAUACCGAAUAAAACUUAGUAUCGCAUGAUACAAAGUUAAAAGGCGCUACGGCGUCACCUAGAGAUGGAUCCGCGGUGCAUUAGUUAGUUGGUGGGGUAAAGGCUUACCAAGACGAUGAUGCAUAGCCGAGUUGAGAGACGGAGCGGCCACAUUGGGACUGGGACACGGCCCAAACUCCUACGGGAGGCUGCAGUAGGGAAUCUUCCACAAUGGGCGCAAGCCUGAUGGGGCAACGCCGCGUGUGUGAUGAAGGCUCUCGGGUCGUAAAGCACUGUUGUAUGGGAAGAAAUGCUAAAAUAGGGAAUGAUUUUAGUUUGACGGUACCAUACCAGAAAGGGACGGCUAAAUACGUGCCAGCAGCCGCCGUAA